rnacentral:rRNA from 1 species
GUGACAGCAGCAGCGGUAAUACGGAGGGUGCAAGCGUUAAUCGGAAUUACUGGGCGUAAAGCGCACGCAGGCGGUCUGUCAAGUCGGAUGUGAAAUCCCCGGGCUCAACCUGGGAACUGCAUUCGAAACUGGCAGGCUAGAGUCUUGUAGAGGGGGGUAGAAUUCCAGGUGUAGCGGUGAAAUGCGUAGAGAUCUGGAGGAAUACCGGUGGCGAAGGCGGCCCCCUGGACAAAGACUGACGCUCAGGUGCGAAAGCGUGGGGAGCAAACAGGAUUAGAAACCCCCGUAGUUC